rnacentral:rRNA from 1 species
UACGGGGGGAGCAAGCGUUGUUCGGAUUUACUGGGCGUAAAGGGCGGGUAGGCGGCCACCGCAAGUCAGUUGUGAAAUCGCUGGGCUUAACCCAGAAAGGUCAACUGAUACUGCGGGGCUAGAGUGCAGAAGGGGCAACUGGAAUUCUCGGUGUAGCGGUGAAAUGCGUAGAUAUCGAGAGGAACACCUGCGGCGAAGGCGGGUUGCUGGGCUGACACUGACGCUGAACUGCGAAAGCUAGGGGAGCGAACGGG